CAGCGCGCGCCGCCAACUUGCAUUUGUCCUCUGCAGCAGCUUCCGGGCGACUUGUUCCACAUGAUGACAAUGAAUGGUGACAUUCGUCCCAGCAUCCUUCUUUUGUUCAUUUGUGGUUGAAGCAACAUAAAGAGACUGCAUGUGAGACAGACACCAAAGGAUGGAUAGUCCACAAGGGACAAAGAGGAACGGAUCUUAACCGAAAGGAAUGAAAAAACUCAUCUGGAGAGUGAAAUGAGACUGACGGCAACACAACUUAUUACAUAGGUUGGUACUGAUGAGUCUCUGGGUUUGAGGUGAGAGCCAUUUGGGCUGUGAGCGAUAGGAGGUCUAUUUUGCCUACAACAAUGAAUCUCGAUGCUCUACAGAUUUAUGGGAGCUAGAUGCUAUUAGAUCAGACAUAACUUGGAAGUGUGAAGAAAAAAAGGCUAAUAAAAAAGCCAAUGGACACAGGUUACAUCACACUACAGUAUCCAGAUAAUAGGGAAAAUGUGUCUUUUUAGAGCCAAAAAAACAUAAAUCGUAGGUUUUGAAGUUGUCCGGAGAAUUGUAAACUUGAUGGAGUGCUUCUUGUUGACCGAUUGUCCUUGGCUGUUUGCAUGCACACUCGUCUCCAACUUAUGAUCCAUUAAUCUCACGCGGCAACAAAGGCUUUGGUUGUCUUGGAUCUGUUUUGUAGAGAAAAUGAGAUCAGAAACUUUAAAUUGGGCAUUAAAUUAAAUCUCCUUUGUCCAACGCUUCAAACUAAGCUUAACCUUCAGCUUGAAGAGCUUUGAAAGAGCCUUUGUGAGCCUUUUUGGCUUAGUCCUUUUAUUAAUCUGGGGUUGGAACAAGCAGAAUAAACCACCAUCAU